ACGCAACCUAAGCUGGAUGGCGUAUAGUCCAUGCGACCCUUCUUUCCCAUUCUACAAUUAACAGAGAGACGCCGAGAUCGUUGAUUGGCCUGUGGCAUGUGCCACCCCGACCACUGAAAUACCAUGGCACAAGCCGUUCAGGUGGAACGGAACAUGCCGUUCAGGUGGAACGGCAAGUGCCGUUCAGGCCCUAUUGCCGUAAAUGUAAAGCUAUAUAUAUUUGGUCUUUGACACUAUAUCACAACAUAACGCCGUAAAUAAAGGGAUUUACACGUUUCUCAUGUCCGUUCUGUUGUUAGGUUAUGUGCGAUCUGUAUGUUGUUGCUUUUGAAAUGACAGGUGCUUUUGAAAACAGCCGGACUGCUCCGGUGGCGGUGUCAUGCCAAAUUUGUACCGGCUGCCAAAUUUGUACCGGGCGCGUGACGCGUCAUCCAUACGUAAUCCAUUCCAAACCUGCCUGGCAGCAGAUGAUCGCGUCGUCCGUUGCCGGGCAGGUUUCAAAAAACAUUCGCGCUCAUGUUGCCAAAGACGAAAUAACAUAAUACAGUUAACGGAUCGCUCGAUAACACUUGUUUUUACUUUAUAUUUGUAUUGUAUUCAAUUGUUUAAUCAAAUUUAGCUGGUAAACUGAGUGUUUAAAGCGGGUCAAGGACGAAAUAGCACAAUACAGAUAACGGAUCGCUAGAUAGAAGGUUCGCGAAUGUCCGUGAACCUUUCACGUCAUUCGACGCGAUCGUCCGUUGCCAGGCAACGGACGACGCGAUCAUCUGUUGCCAGGCAGGUUUGUAAUGGAUUACGUAUGGAUGACGCGCCCGGUACAAAUUUGGCAGCCGGUACAAAUUUGGCAUGACAGCGGUAGUAAGCCUAGCCUUUAAUCAUCUGCUCGUUCCAAUCGCUUCUUCCGAUAGCUUGUAACCAAAGAUGUCUUCUGUUUGCCUUAAAUGGGGUGCGAGUUGAUGGUAUCCUGUAGAACUUCUGUGUUUUGUUAGUCUUAUUAAAACGGUUUGUGCAACCAACCGCGCAACAAGACUUGAUUGCGGCUCUUGUCGCUCUCGUCUCUUUCUGCAUUACAUGCGCAGUGACGUAGACUGAUAAUCUCUCAAGAGUCCUCGGUUGCUAAGCGACGUCAACGUCUUUGGCGGACUAUUUCUGAGCUGAUCAACAAUACGAAUGCUGGUAACAAAUGAAUUGUAAAAAGACACACCGUGUACAUUUAUUUGGCCAUAUGCUAAAGACGUGUCUAGUUCACCGUCAUGCAGGCUGUGUUCAGUAAAAUAAAUAGCGAUGUUUUUAAUAAUUUUGAUUGAUUUCUUACAAAUCAACAAGCCUCUCCCUGUGUCGCUGUGUGUGCGUGUAUCCGAGUUGCGUGUGUGCGUUUAUCCGAGUUGCGUGUGUGCGUGGGGUGUUCUUGAUUGACCGAUUUUCGAAUAUUAUUCAAAUACUUCGCAGCGAAUAUUGAAUAGUAUUUUUGCCAGAAAUGCACAUCCCUAGUAGCUACUUACCAUUUUCCAUAAGUGGCAUGCCAGUGGAAAAACGGUAGGUGCCAGUAUAAACUGUUAAUUACCAUUUUUCAUGAGUGGCAUGCCAGAGGAAAAACGGUGAUUCCAGUAGGAAAUGGAACUUCCGAUUAACAUAAUUGGCUUGCCAGCGGAAAAACGUUUGGACUAUACGCCAUGAUACCACUGGAUCAUGUCGGUAUACGAAGGUUUAUGACACUGGAUCAGUGCUAAAUGAUAGGAACCUAUCAUAAUUUGUUAGAUCUGUAACCAACUCCAGUUGGGACGCUCCUAGUGCUCCAUUAUUUCGGAAUCUGGAGUUGCUAAGCAUAUAUGAUGUGAAUACUCUUCAGAUCGGCACUUUUGUUUUCCAGUUUUUCAAUAAUUUACUUCCUUCUUCUUUUAACAGUUUUUUUAUAACCAGGUCACAGAUCCAUAGUCAUCAGACCAGAUCUGUAGAUCUCCUUCAUCGGCAAUUUUUCAGAACAAAUCUGGGACAGUUUUCUAUUAGGGACAGAGGUCCAGUCGUUUAGAACAGUUUUC
ensembl:lncRNA